CUACCAGCUGAUUCCUUUCUAGCAAUGUAAUGCUUCACCGUCAGCUGACUGACACAAGAAGAAAAAGAGAGAUAUUAACACUGUCUUAGCUGAAACCAGGACACAAUUCUAGCUUCGUAAGUCUCCCCUCAACUGCUGGUAAGCCAUGAUGAGGUCUCUCCAGAGCUUCCUCUUCUCCAGAGUAAAGAAGACCAACUUCCUCAUCCUUCCUGAUCACCAUCAUCACAGCUCUCUUCUGGACCCAUUCCAACAACUCCAUAUACUUUUUGUUCUGAGGACCCCAAGACCCGGACACAGUACUCCAGAUGCAAUCUUACGAUGCCAGAGUAGACAGAGACAAUCACCUCCCUUGUCCUGCUGAAUGCCUCUCUUUUGAUGUAGUCCAGGAAACUGCAGGCCUUCCAGGCUGCAUGUGCCCACAGCUGGCUUAUGUUCAGCUUUUCAUUGGCCAGGGUCCUCAAUCCUUCUCCACAGGACUGCAGUGAAUUAGUUCUUCUCUCAGUCUGUACACAUAUCUGGGAUUGCCCUGCAAGACACCGUACAAAAAUUCCUUUUGUCUCAAAGAUUUCUGUGGAGUGCAAGAACAACUGGAGGCAUCUCUGCCUACACGGGGUUGUCAGGAACAAGGUAGAUAAGGGGAAUGUCUCAAUGUUUAUCACCUUCUGGGCUACUCCUGAGAUGAAAUGGCUUGGCCUUGUGUGGAGACUCCAGCUUCCCUGAUGCGGAUAAGCCUGCAUUGGACUGCUGCACCUGUGUAUGACAUGCCGUUACUACGGGCAACCCAAGAAGAAUCAGACAGUAUACAUAUGAAUUUAGCAAAACCAGGGUGUGUGCUUUUCCCUUGUGCUUUCCUUCUGCCUGUGAUCAAGGAAAAAUCUGCACUCCGCACCCUCAGUGCCAAUCAGAGUCAUGAAAUGUUGUGCACUGAAGUGGUAACUAUCUUUAUAUUCUUAUAACAAAUCCUUGCUUUUAUUUUCUGUCUUUUUAUUAUUGCUUUCUUCAUUCCACUUCCCAUCUAGUUCCCAGGUCUAGAUAACCAAAACUUUUAUAAUAAACUGUUUGGGCAAAUAUUUGACCUCUUUCUGGGUCUUAAUCACAUGUUAGAUAUACAUAUAUCACAAACCAUCUCACCACAGAUAAUUGGAGCGAGACAGCUCCAACCCAAGAGAAACUCCUUGCACUUGGCAUUCUGGAACCUCAUUUGCUUCAUGUGGGCCCAAUUUUGAAGCCUGUCCAGGUCCCUCUGGAUGCCAUUCUUUCCUUUUAUUGUAUCAACUGCACCACUCAGCUUGGUGUUGUCUGUGAACUUGCUGAGGGUGCAAUCAGUCCCAGAGUCUACAUAACUGAUAACAAUGUUAAAGAAUACUGGCCCCAAGAGAGACAACUGAGGAACAACACCUGUGACUUGCCUCCACCUGUACAUAGUGCAGGUUAUGCAGUAUGAAAUGCUCUAAUCUUAUUUGAAAGGGAAAUUGGGAAUCGUAAAGAGAAAUGCCUUUCUAUUUACCUGCUUAGGUUUCUUCUAAUAAAAAGUAACUUUACAUGUUAUCUCAUAUUUUACACAAGAAAAAUUGAUCUUGAAGAAAUUCAAAGAAAAUAAAAAAUAAAAGAUUAUUUUAGUUUUGCUAUUGAACCUCCUCAAUCUGAUAGUAAGAAGCAAAAACAAUGGUGAAGGCAAUUUAAUUAUCAUGACCUAAAUCAGAAACUACAUAUUUUGGAAGAGUUAAGUUACAAAAGCUGAUUUACAAGUUUUAGAUUCCAAAGAACAAUGCUUGCUUUCAAACAAUAUAUCUUAGUAUUUAUCUUUUAAAAACAAAAAUUAUUCCUCUAAAAACAAAAAUAAAUCAAAAAUAUAUAUAUUUGGGGAAAAAAAAAACCUAUCCAAUUAGUUGAAUUGGAUAAUUCAUAAAUGCAAAUAACUCCCAUAUAUAUGCAAUUUUACGUUUCAUUAUUUUCAUUUACUCUUCUACACUGAUUUUAUUGUUUUCUUGAAGUAGCUAUAAAUGAUUUUCAAUUUGCAUUUUGCCUCAUUUAUCUAUAUACAUUUUUUCAGGCUACUGGCAUACUUUCUCUUGUAAAACUGUAUAUGAAAUAGAGCAACUUUGGGAGUAGAUGAAAGGAAACCUACUAACCUGGAUCUUCCUGAAUAAAGUGAAAGUUGUUGACAAUUAAAAAAAAAAAAAAAAAAAAAGAGGAAUGAUAAUUAAAAACGAAAAACAAAAAAACAUAGAUUUGAGUCAAUGCUGCAUUUCUCUUAGAAUUAUGAGGUGUUAUUUAACACUUAGCAAACGCGGAAAUCUGGCAAGAACCUGUGUUAAAUUAAGUGUCCUGCCUAAGAAACUCCUCAGAAGUACAUAUUCUACAUGUGACACAGAGUAGCAAUUUGAUUUUAGCAGCAGUACCUGUUCAUAUAUUUUAAAAUAAUUAAAGAUAUACUAUGAUGCCUUAGGUAGCAAGUCCUUAAAUUGUUUAGCAACCUGAUACCAUCAUUUACAUAUUCUUUAUCAAAAUUUUCCCUAUAUCUAUGUCACAAAAGUCCAAGAGCCCUGAAGAGCACUUAGUUUUCUGUUCUAGCCCUAAGAGGCCAAUACGCAAUCCAGUGGAGGCAGUUAUUCUAAGGUUUGACAUCCUUAAUAUUUCUAUUCAUCAGAAAAGUUAUAUAAUUCCUAUUUUCAGAAUGAUAAAAUGGAAUACAG
ensembl:lncRNA